rnacentral:rRNA from 1 species
CAGUAGCCGCGGUAAUACAGAGGGUGCGAGCGUUAAUCGGAUUUACUGGGCGUAAAGCGUGCGUAGGCGGCUUCUUAAGUCGGAUGUGAAAUCCCUGAGCUUAACUUAGGAAUUGCAUUCGAUACUGGGAAGCUAGAGUAUGGGAGAGGAUGGUAGAAUUCCAGGUGUAUCGGUGAAAUGCGUAGAGAUCUGGAGGAAUACCGAUGGCGAAGGCAGCCAUCUGGCCUAAUACUGACGCUGAGGUACGAAAGCAUGGGGAGCAAACAGGAUUAGAUACCCGAGUAGUCCCUGUCUCUUAUAC